GACGAACGCUGGCGGCGUGCCUAAUACAUGCAAGUAGAACGCUGAAGAGAGGAGCUUGCUCUUCUUGGAUGAGUUGCGAACGGGUGAGUAACGCGUAGGUAACCUGCCUGGUAGCGGGGGAUAACUAUUGGAAACGAUAGCUAAUACCGCAUAAAAUGGAUUAUCGCAUGAUAAUCCAUUGAAAGGUGCAAAUGCAUCACUACCAGAUGGACCUGCGUUGUAUUAGCUAGUUGGUGGGGUAACGGCUCACCAAGGCGACGAUACAUAGCCGACCUGAGAGGGUGAUCGGCCACACUGGAACUGAGACACGGUCCAGACUCCUACGGGAGGCAGCAGUAGGGAAUCUUCGGCAAUGGACGGAAGUCUGACCGAGCAACGCCGCGUGAGUGAAGAAGGGUUUCGGAUCGUAAAGCUCUGUUGUAAGAGAAGAACGAGUGUGAGAGUGGAAAGUUCACACUGUGACGGUAUCUUACCAGAAAGGGACGGCUAACUACGUG
rnacentral:rRNA from 1 species